rnacentral:rRNA from 1 species
AGUGGCAGACGGGUGAGUAAUGCGUAGGAAUCUACCUAGUAGUAUGGAAUAGCCAUUAGAAAUGAUGGGUAAUACUGUAUAAUCCCUGCGGGGGAAAGAUUUAUCGCUAUUAGAUGAGCCUACGUUAGAUUAGCUAGUUGGUAAGGUAAUGGCUUACCAAGGCUAUGAUCUAUAGCUGGUCUGAGAGGACGAUCAGCCACACUGGAACUGAGAUACGGUCCAGACUCCUACGGGAGGCAGCAGUGGGGAAUAUUGGACAAUGGGCGAAGGCCUGAUCCAGCUAUACCGCGUGAGUGAAGGAGGCCUUCGGGUUGUAAAACUCUUUCA